rnacentral:rRNA from 1 species
UACGGAGGGGGCUAGCGUUAUUCGGAAUUACUGGGCGUAAAGCGUUCGUAGGCGGCUUUGUAAGUCAGAGGUGAAAGCCCACGACUCAAUCGUGGAACUGCCUUUGAGACUGGUUCGCUUGAAGAUGGGAGAGGUUAGUGGAAUUCCGAGUGUAGAGGUGAAAUUCGUAGAUAUUCGGAAGAACACCAGUGGCGAAGGCGGCUAACUGGACCAGUCUUGACGCUGAGGAACGAAAGCGUGGGGAGCAAACAGG